rnacentral:tRNA from 1 species
GGUCGCUUAGCUCAGUUGGUAGAGCAUCUGCCUUACAAGCAGGGGGUCAUAGGUUCAAGUCCUAUUGCGAUCACCA